GACACCAUGGCCGAGUGGUCUAAGGCGUUGGACUUGAAAUCCAAUGGGCUAUGCCCGCGCAGGUUCAAAUCCUGCUGGUGUCG